UCAACCAUUCUCAUUGGUUUAUUAUCAUUUUUUUGAAGAAGUCGAUUCCUUAAUUGUCUGUAAAACUUGUUUAACCUGCUAAGGCCAGUUGUGUGGCCUGACAUCUUCCCCUCCAACCACCCUAGUCAGCACAGGAGGGAAGGAGGGCAGGGCACAUCACACCACACCACAGGCUGAGGGAACAAAUACAACACACGACAAUUAAUGUGCACACAACUUUGUCAAGAAACCUGCAAUAACAGGUGAACAAUGUUGGCCAUGACAGUGAUGUUUAAAGAUCCCUUCCACCAGCAACAACACGAGCAAGAACCCCAAACUUCAUUAUGUCUGUUUGUCCACAUCUUUCAGUUAUGCAACCUUCAGGAAUGGUGCCAAACUUUGCCUUCUGAACACAAGGGUGGAGAUAAAACAUCAUCAAAAUAUAACGGAAAUGAACUGGACUAUGAGACCAAGGUGUCCUGGACUUAUUUUGUUGAAAGAAGAGACUCUGGUGGAACCCUGAGUUGUCAAAACCCUGAUGGCUCCUGCUCCUCCUCUCCUCCAUCGACUGGAUCAACAAUGUACGUGGAUAAAUGUUGACGAGUGAAAUGUUUGUCCAAAUUAUUUGUUUUGUCUCCAGGUGACAAAACUCAAAUGUUUAGUGUCUUUAGAUAGGGUCACCUGCUCUUUACAGGCUCUUUACAAUCCAGUCAUCUAAAACAGUCUUUUACAUGGCUUAGCACAGUAAUAAUCAUUCUGAAUGUGGAUUUUAACAGUAAUUACAAA